AUUGCAUUACAAUUUGCGGUAUGUCCUCAUUCUAUAUGAAACUGGCUGGAGUACACCAAGCGAAGGAAAUCAGUCUGUCCCCGCUUUAACUCCCGAACAAUCACGGAUUGUGAAUCAUCGAAUAGAAAGAAACCAUUUGAUCAAGAUUGUUGCAUUUGCUGGCAGUGGGAAGACGACUACCCUUCUACGACUUACAGAACGUGUCAACAAAGAGAACCCCCAUUUUAGGUUUUUGUUGAUAGUGUAUAAAUUAAUCGUGCAGUAUCCGACGAAGCUAGCGGGAAAUUUCCAAACAACGUCGUUUGCAGAACCAUUCAUCAUUUGGCUUAUCGCCAUACCGUUGGUCAAGGCCUAUUGAAAAAAAAGCAACGGGCAACAUCUUCCCAACAAGUUUGAUUAACAGUUAGCACCAAUUAACCCGUUGGCUGCCACCCACUAAUUGUGUAUGUGUAUGUUUCCUGUGUUGUUUACGAAGUGGUGUACUUGUGGUGGAAGGUUGUAGAGUUUUAGACAACACUGCGUGAGCCAAAGGAGUAAACCCGAAAUUGUCAAAUGAACGUAGAUGAACUACGAGAGAAAGGAAAUGCCUGUGUUAAAGAAGGCAAACAUGAGGAGGCCGUCUUGCAUUACAGCGCAGCGAUACAAUCAGAUCCAAACAACCAUGUGCUUCAUAGUAAUCGUUCCUUAGCAUUCUUGAAAAUACAGCAAUAUUUUUUGGCCUACAAAGAUGCUAAAUGUACAGUAUC